UAUGGCUUUUUUUUGCAUACUUGUGGGUUGAUUGUUGCUUUUCUGAGCAUGUGUGCUGUAUAUUGGUGAUUUCUGCUUCGUCGCCUUGUUGCUGCUUUGUCUUAUAUUAACUCUACACUUUGGUAAUAAAAAAAAAGGAAUUUGAGCCGCACACACACAGCAACGCGUGCUUAUAUGUACGUAAGUGGUUAAAAGUAAGGUAAAACAGUCAAGGGCGCACACCUGCCCGUGGGAGGGAGGGAGAAAGCAACAAACUGCUAUAGACUGGCCGGAGCGAGGAGAGAAGAUGUAGUUUGCCUCGGUGGAAAAACCCAGAGUACAAACUUCCCCUUAUUUUUACCCAAUGUCCCACUAGGAAAGGAUGCCCAUAAAUGUGGUUUAAAGAAAAGUCUCUCAAGCCCAUAUUUCGUCAAGGUUAAAAAUCAGGGUUCAUAGAUACACACAGAUGUGCUCAACAAUUUAUGCAUGUAAAUUCAUACAAUUUUUAAACUCUAAAUAAGUUUAUAUUUAUUUCAGUCAAAUAAUUUGUUAUUUUGUAUCAAUGUAAACCAGUUUUUGAAUUUUUAAUAUCAAAUACAUUAAAAAAAAAAUAUGCAGCAGUUUGAAAAACAUUUGUUUAUACCAUUCUUCGAAAUAAAACGAAUUUUAUAUUCUAACAGCACGAUUAACUCAAUAUUAUACCUUAAACGUCAAAACUCAUAAAAAGUAAAAUAUAUAAUCUGAGGAUCUACAAUUCUAA